rnacentral:rRNA from 1 species
GAUGAACGCUGGCGGCGUGCCUAAUACAUGCAAGUCGAGCGAACGGACGAGAAGCUUGCUUUUCUGAUGUUAGCGGCGGACGGGUGAGUAACACGUGGAUAACCUACCUAUAAGACUGGGAUAACUUCGGGAAACCGGAGCUAAUACCGGAUAAUAUUUUGAACCGCAUGGUUCAAAAGUGAAAGACGGUCUUGCUGUCACUUAUAGAUGGAUCCGCGCUGCAUUAGCUAGUUGGUAAGGUAACGGCUUACCAAGGCAACGAUGCAUAGCCGACCUGAGAGGGUGAUCGGCCACACUGGAACUGAGACACGGUCCAGACUCCUACGGGAGGCAGCAGUAGGGAAUCUUCCGCAAAGGGCGAAAGCCUGACGGAGCAACGCCGCGUGAGUGAUGAAGGUCUUCGGAUCGUAAAACUCUGUUAUUAGGGAAGAACAUAUGUGUAAGUAACUGUGCACAUCUUGACGGUACCUAAUCAGAAAGCCGCGGCUAACUACGUG